GAUGAACGCUGGCGGCGUGCCUAAUACAUGCAAGUCGAGCGAAUGGAUUGAGAGCUUGCUCUCAAGAAGUUAGCGGCGGACGGGUGAGUAACACGUGGGUAACCUGCCCAUAAGACUGGGAUAACUCCGGGAAACCGGGGCUAAUACCGGAUAAUAUUUUGAACUGCAUGGUUCGAAAUUGAAAGGCGGCUUCGGCUGUCACUUAUGGAUGGACCCGCGUCGCAUUAGCUAGUUGGUGAGGUAACGGCUCACCAAGGCAACGAUGCGUAGCCGACCUGAGAGGGGGAUCGGCCACACUGGGACUGAGACACGGCCCAGACUCCUACGGGAGGCAGCAGUAGGGAAUCUUCCGCAAUGGACGAAAGUCUGACGGAGCAACGCCGCGUGAGUGAUGAAGGCUUUCGGGUCGUAAAACUCUGUUGUUAGGGAAGAACAAGUGCUAGUUGAAUAAGUUGGCACCUUGACGGUACCUAACCAGAAAGCCACGGCUAACUACGUGCCAGCCGCCGCAGUAAUAC
rnacentral:rRNA from 1 species